rnacentral:rRNA from 1 species
AACGAUGUCAACUAGUUGUCGGGUCUUAACGGGCUUGGUAACGUAGCUAACGCGUGAAGUUGACCGCCUGGGGAGUACGAUCGCAAGAUUAAAACUCAAAGGAAUUGACGGGGACCCGCACAAGCGGUGGAUUAUGUGGAUUAAUUCGAUGCAACGCGAAAAACCUUACCUACCCUUGACAUGUAUUGAAACCCGCAGAGAUGUGGGUGUGCCCGAAAGGGAACGAUAACACAGGUGCUGCAUGGCUGUCGUCAGCUCGUGUCGUGAGAUGUUGGGUUAAGUCCCGCAACGAGCGCAACCCUUGUCAUUAGUUGCCAUCAUUUAGUUGGGCACUUUAAUGAGACUGCCGGUGACAAACCGGAGGAAGGUGGGGAUGACGUCAAGUCCUCAUGGCCCUUAUGGGUAGGGCUUCACACGUAAUACAAUGGCGCGUACAGAGGGUUGCCAACCCGCAAGGGGGAGCUAAUCUCAGAAAGCGCGUCGUAGUCCGGAUCGGAGUCUGCAACUCGACUCCGUGAAGUCGGAAUCGCUAGUAAUCGCGGAUCAGCAUGUCGCGGUGAAUACGUUCCCGGGUCUUGUACACACCGCCCGUCACACCAUGGGAGUGGGUUCCACCAGAAGCAGGUAGUCUAACCGCAAGGAGGGCGCUUGCCACGGUGAGAUUCAUGACUGGGGUGAAGUCGUAACAAGGUAGCCGUA